GGUGGUUAUGAGGCUGGGGGCUCUGAAAUGCCAGGAGCACGGCCCCUGGUGUGAGAGGAGAGGACAGGAGGAGGUGGGGUUCCAGAGUAGCAGAGACACUAAAGAGGGAGAUCCUCCCAGGGCUGAGCCGAGCACACCUGCUGGUCACCAAAUGCCCAGGGUUGGGUAUCAGAGACAGCCUCAUAUGGGCCAGAGCUCCUUAGCUCUGUGUCACAAUGCUGAGGUGUCUUUCGUGAUCUCAGGGGCCAUUGUGAAAACAUCUGUGUGCCAGGAAGCCCUGUUGAGAAGGUGGAAGUAGGCGUCACAAAGUCAGAAAUACUGAUGGGUUUGGUUCCACUCUGGAGAGGCAGGUUGUGGGGGAUGGAUCUGGAUACUGAUUCUGGCUGCAGAACCAGCAUGCCAGGGCCUUCAGAAUCCUCCAGUGGCUCGUGGAGAUGGACAAAACUCCCAGCUGGGAUCCCUCUGGGCCAGUUCUGUGCUCCAUCCUCAGCAUGAAAAAUUGAGAGAGGUUGCCUAGGUUCCUUUGCACUCCACCUCACCGCUGCUUGAGGGCUUGGGCUCU
rnacentral:lncRNA from 1 species